rnacentral:lncRNA from 12 species
CCCCCCCCCCCCCCCCCCCCCCCCCCCCCCCCCCCCCCCCCCCCCCCCCCCGGGGACAUUCCCAGCCUUUGGAAUGAUCCCGUGGGACCGUUCCUUGUUUUCCCCGGCUCCUGGCAGACAAUGGGGCCGGAGGGAGCAGCCCCGAGGUCGCGGAUCCGGAUUAAUUCUGGGAUUUGGGAUGAGUUUUCCGAGCGCUGUGGAGGUUUUGUGGAUCGGGAAGAAGGAUUUGGGAAUUCCCAGCUGGGAAUUCCGGCCAGCACCGCCUCAAAUCCGAGGAAUUCCAGCCCUGCUGCCCUCCAGUAUUCCCUGGGUGUGGAUGGAAAUAUUCCAGGGUUCCCGGAUCCCAUCCCUGCGCCGCUUUCCCGGGAUCCAGGACGUGGAAAAUGGAUUGAGGAGAUCCCAAAGGAUCAGGAGCUGAUGGAGAGGAGUUUUCAUGGAUCCAGAACCCCAGCCCUGGGUGAUCCAGCUCCAGGGCGGCCCCCCCGUGCCCUGAGCAGCCGCCCAUGCCCGGCCCCUCUCCGAUGCCGCAUGUGCCAAAGGCCCCGGAGAGCGCCGGGACGGAGCCGCCGCCGGAGCCGCCGGUGAGGGACGGGAACGGAUCCUGCUGGGAGCGCUGGGAGCACUGGGAGCACUGGGAUGGGAUCCAGCCCGCACUGGGGACAUACUGGGAUGGGAUCCAGCCCGCACUGGGAGCACUGGGACAUACUGGGAUGGGAUCCAGCCCGCACUGGGAGCACUGGGACAUACUGGGAUGGGAUCCAGCCC